CAGCAGCCACGGUAAUACGUAGGUCCCGAGCGUUGUCCGGAUUUAUUGGGCGUAAAGCGAGCGCAGGCGGUUAGAUAAGUCUGAAGUUAAAGGCUGUGGCUUAACCAUAGUACGCUUUGGAAACUGUUUAACUUGAGUGCAAGAGGGGAGAGUGGAAUUCCAUGUGUAGCGGUGAAAUGCGUAGAUAUAUGGAGGAACACCGGUGGCGAAAGCGGCUCUCUGGCUUGUAACUGACGCUGAGGCUCGAAAGCGUGGGGAGCAAACAGGAUUAGAUACCCCGGUAGUCCCUGUCUCUUAUACA
rnacentral:rRNA from 1 species